AAGUCGUAACAAGGUUUCCGUAGGUGAACCUGCGGAAGGAUCAUUAUCUGUUUAAUGGUGUUGGUCGCGGCCCCGCGGAGAUGUCCCGGCGUAGCAGGUAAGCACGUACUCACGCGGCCACGAUCGCCUUCAUCCUUUUUUACGCAUUGCACCUUCUGUUCUCCUUCGGUGGGGCAACCUGCCGUUGGAACCUAUCAAAACCUUUUUUUGCAUUUAGCAUUACCUGUUCCGAUACAAACAAUCGUUACAA
rnacentral:misc_RNA from 1 species